rnacentral:misc_RNA from 1 species
AACGCUACAUUGCGCCCUUUGGCAUUCCGAGGGGCAUGCCCUGUUCGAGCGUCAUUAACACCAAUCAAGCCUGGCUUGGUCUUGGGCGAUGGGAUCCUCCCACGCCUCUAUAUCAUCGGCUGGACGGACCGUAUCUCAGCGUUGUGGCAACAGAAUCGCUCAGAGAAGGGACGGACGCGCCGUUAAACCUCUUUUUACAGGUUGACCUCGGAUCGGGUAGGGAUACCCGCUGAACUUAA